AUGGAGACGCCCAUUGAGCGAGAAAUACGCCGCAGCUGCGAACGCGAGGAGAGCCUGCGCCGGAGCCGAGGCCUGAGCCCUCGCCGCGCAGGCCGAGAAUUCGUCGAGCUGCGCGUGCGGCGGGUGCUCAGCCUGCCCGGCCCCAGCCCCGCGCUCCCGCGCGCCUUGGAGCGCGCGCGGGCGGGCGCGCAGAUGCAGCGAGACAUCGAGCGGGAGGCUCACCGUCAGGCGGCGCUAGCGAGCCCCGCAGCCCCAGAGCAGCGCGCCCGGCCGCCGCUGCAGCCGUUGGGUGACCUCCGGCGAUUCUUUGAGGACGCUGGGGGACGUGGCUCCUUGUCCGCGGCUGAAGGCGGCGCGGACCUGCACGGGCUGCCGGAUGCCGGAGGCCCGCCGCGCUUGGCGGUGCAGGGUCGGUGCCCGGUGCUGGCCCGCGCCCCGCCGCGGGUCGCGCCGUCGCUGCUGGAGCAGGAGGUGCGCGAGGUGCUUGAGCGCGAGCGGGAGCUGCAGCGCCAGCGGCUCAGCGUCUACGGCACCGCCGAGUUCAAGGAGCCCGCGCCGAGCCUCACGGGUUGCUCCCUCCUUCGGAAUGGAGGUUUCCAUGGGAAGGAGGGUAAACGCCUGUGUGUUUAAGGGGCGCGGCCGGCCUCCUUGGUCCUGGCCGCCUCCAGCUGGUGACAGGAGGGGCAACCCCGGCUGAGCGCCCCUUCCCCCGCAGCGAGCAGCGGCGACGGAAAGCUGGCGGUGAUCUGGCCUCCGCGCAGAAAGGCAUCUGAGAGCGGCUUGGAGCAGGAGGAGCAGAAGACGAUGUUCCAGCAGGCUGGGACCCCCUGCCAGACGUAACAUGUACAUCAGAGGAAACUGGUAGGGCUGCCCAGGUGCUCUCAGAAUCCACUGAAGGCCUGGAAGAAGGCCAGCGGGUCUGCACAGGACAAGAUGAAAUCGACCAGCCCUCCUUGAACCUGACUUUGUGAAACUGACCAGUCUCUUCUAUAAAACUGUUAGUCCCCACUGGGGAACACUACCACUCUCAAACCGCCAGUGAAACUGUCAAGCCCUUCUCCGCCUAACUGCAAACCGAACUGGUCUCUGCCUCCGGCCUUUGCAAUUAGGAGACCAGGGUCUCCGCCUCGGCUAUCCUCACUCCCCAAUAAAGCCCUUUCUUUCUGGGCA